rnacentral:misc_RNA from 1 species
GGUGGCUUGACUUGCAAAGAUGGGUAUUCUCUGCGGAUGAAGACUGCAAAGCGAAGUCUGCUGAUUUUCUGUGCUUUAGUGUCCCGGCACCGGAAGUUCGCUGACAAACUGAUGCCUGACAUGGUGAAAUGCGUUUCAGAAAUUGCCAAGCAUAGCACAAUCAUAAAUAAACUAGAUCCGCUGUCAGAAAGGACUGUGUCGUUAGCCUUUGAUG